rnacentral:rRNA from 1 species
UACGUAGGGGGCAAGCGUUGUCCGGAUUUAUUGGGCGUAAAGAGCGUGUAGGCGGCCUGAAAGGUCAGCUGUGAAAACUCGAGGCUCAACCUCGAGACGUCGGUUGAAACCAUCUGGCUAGAGUCCGGAAGAGGAGUGUGGAAUUCCCGGUGUAGCGGUGAAAUGCGUAGAUAUCGGAAGGAACACCUGUGGCGAAAGCGGCUCACUGGACCAUUACUGACGCUGAUGCACGAAAGCUAGGGGAGCAAACAGG